CCAUCAUGCAGUGGUGUGGAAUGAGCCAAGGGCUAGUGUACCACGCUUCUCUACAGCAUGGUGUUACUAUCUUCUGUGUAUUGUUGCAGAUGCCUAGAGCAUGAGUGAGCUUCUAAUUUACAUGUAAGCUAUUAAAUCUGCCAUAGAGCGAGCUAUUCAUCACGAACAAGAUGUGCUGAAGGAGCUUAUCAAAGCUUGGAAAAAUGCAGAAAUUUGGCUUUGAACUGGUAUUUUUCACGUGGUAUUCUGCAGAAAAUCACACUAAGGUGGUAUUUUCAGACUGAAAUGUGCAUAAGUGUUCUACUGUAAUUUGACUUCUUACUAUGGAUUGUGCCAGUCUUCGUGGAAAUUAACUAAUUUACUAAUCUCAAGAAACGAAUUCACCUUUACAGAAGAGGAAACGAAUUCAGAGGGAUAAAUAAACUUGUCCAGGUCCAUGGGAAACAGUUAUCCAGUCAGUAAGCUGGUGGUAAGCUGGAUAAUGGCUCACGAAGUUUCAGCGAAUGUUAUACCAGCAGAAACCCUGCCAGCUUGGACUGAAAAUGACUGAGAGGAUAGAAUGAAAAUCUACAGAAAGAAGAAUUGUCCUCUUGGAUGGAUUAUAUGCUGAGAUUCACCAACACCUGAUUUAGAUAACUUGAUUUGAGACUUUUGAAUGGAUAAGAAUUAGAUGAGAUUUUUAGAGUAGAAGUUGGAAUAGGUCUGAACCUAUGGCCUUCAAGCACUGUGGGGUGAUUUUUCAGGGCCUGGGCACUCUCCUGAGCUUUUGUACUCAAGGCUAGAACUCUACCUCUUAA